rnacentral:rRNA from 1 species
UCACUUUAGCGAGACUGCCGGUAAUAAACCGGAGGAAGGUGGGGAUGACGUCAAAUCAUCAUGCCCCUUAUGACCUGGGCUACACACGUGCUACAAUGGCUGGUACAACGAGUCGCAAGUCGGUGACGGCAAGCUAAUCUCUUAAAGCCAGUCUCAGUUCGGAUUGUAGGCUGCAACUCGCCUACAUGAAGUCGGAAUCGCUAGUAAUCGCGGAUCAGCACGCCGCGGUGAAUACGUUCCCGGGCCUUGUACACACCGCCCGUCACACCACGAGAGUUUGUAACACCCGAAGUCGGUGAGGUAACCUUUUAGGAGCCAGCCGCCUAAGGUGGGAUAGAUGAUUGGGGUGAAGUCGUAACAAGGUAACCGAAAA